UUAUAUAACUCGAAACCAAGUCACUUUUGAUAUUUUUGGCGUAUUUGUACCUUUUUGAAAAAAUGUUUUGAGAAAGCCAUAAAUGAGAGAUUUGUAGAUGCAGUUAUAAUUGUCAAUAUUCUUAAAGAAAGUAAUAUAAAUUUUGGGGGAAAGACUCCCUCUCACCCAGUAAGCUUCUAAUAGCGAAUCUAGCUCAGAUGAAUAAGAAAAUUAUUAUUGAGCAAACAUUUUAGUGAUAUUAUUCCUUUUGCUUCCACCUUUUCUCUGCAAUAAAUGUGAAAGCCAGUUACCUGAUGAUAUUAUUCUUUAUCUGCAGUUUCCAGCUGGCGAAGGAACACCCCAAGGAUCCCAUGACAAUACUUCAUAUUUCAAAGCCUAUAACUUCAGGAUAAUAAUGUCUUAUAUUUGUAAUAUGCUUUCAUGUUUCACAAUUUACAAAGAAUUUUUACAUGAAUUGCCUUUUUGUUUCUUAAAAAAUCACUUAAGAUGGGUAAGGCAAGAAUCCUUCCUUUCAUUUUAUAGAUGAGCCAUGUGAUGUCAGAAGUGUGAUGUGCCAUGCUCCACUACAGACAGGAAGUGGAAUAGCCAGGAACUUGAAUCCAAGCCUUCUUAUGCCAAAAUUCUCCUUUGAUACGUGAAGGCAGCCUCAUCACUCCAAAGGUUUCUGGAACUGAAAUAAUAACAUCAUGUCUUGUUAUUGGAACAAUAUAUCAAAAGACAAGCAAAUAUAAAGCUAAUUCUCUGUGGAAUGAUACUUUCAAGUUGGAAUUUAUGUUACAUUAACCUAUUGUUUGAGAGGUUAUAUAUGAUGAUAUUUUUGCCUUAAAUAUUAUUUGACUAGUGUGGGUUUACCAAGCUAACUAUGCCAAUAAAGAAAUUCUGGAAUAUACUUUCUGUUACAUACUUUGAAGGAUUUUUCUCAGUGAGAUAAACUAACAAGUCUAAUUACUUCCA
rnacentral:lncRNA from 1 species